rnacentral:tRNA from 1 species
GGAGAUAGCUCAGUGGUAGAGUGCCUGCCUAGCAUGCCCAAGGUCCUGGGUUCAAUCCCCAGUGCCUCUA